rnacentral:rRNA from 1 species
CACCUCUAGCAUUUCCAGUAUUAGAGGCACUGCCUGCCCAGUGACAUCUGUUUAAACGGCCGCGGUGUCCUAACCGUGCAAAGGUAGCAUAAUCACUUGUUCCCUAAAUAGGGACUUGUAUGAAUGGCCACACGAGGGUUUUACUGUCUCUUACUUCCAAUCAGUGAAAUUGACCUUCCCGUGAAGAGGCGGAAAUGACUAAAUAAGACGAGAAGACCCUAUGGAGCUUUAAUUAACUGAUUCACAAAAAACAACACACAAACCUAACCUUCAGGGACAACAAAACUUUUGAUUGAAUCAACAAUUUCGGUUGGGGUGACCUCGGAGAACAAAACAACCUCCGAGUGAUUUAAAUCCAGACUAACCAGUCAAAAUAUAUAAUCACUUAUUGAUCCAAACCAUUGAUCAACGGAACAAGUUACCCUAGGGAUAACAGCGCAAUCCUAUUCCAGAGUCCAUAUCGACAAUUAGGGUUUACGACCUCGAUGUUGGAUCAAGACAUCCUAAUGGUGCAACCGCUAUUAAGGGUUCGUUUGUUCAACGAUUAAAGUCUU